GAUGAACGCUGGCGGCGUGCCUAAUACAUGCAAGUCGAGCGAACAGACGAGGAGCUUGCUCCUCUGACGUUAGCGGCGGACGGGUGAGUAACACGUGGAUAACCUACCUAUAAGACUGGGAUAACUUCGGGAAACCGGAGCUAAUACCGGAUAACAUGUUGAACCGCAUGGUUUAACAGUGAAAGACGGUCUUGCUGUCACUUCUAGAUGGAUCCGCGCCGCAUUAGCUAGUUGGUAAGGUAACGGCUUACCAAGGCAACGAUGCGUAGCCGACCUGAGAGGGUGAUCGGCCACACUGGAACUGAGACACGGUCCAGACUCCUACGGGAGGCAGCAGUAGGGAAUCUUCCGCAAUGGGCGAAAGCCUGACGGAGCAACGCCGCGUGAGUGAAGAAGGUCUUCGGAUCGUAAAACUCUGUUAUUAGGGAAGAACAAAUGUGUAAGUAACUAUGCACGUCUUGACGGUACCUAAUCAGAAAGCCACGGCUAACUACGUG
rnacentral:rRNA from 1 species